rnacentral:rRNA from 1 species
AUGAACGCUGGCGGCGUGCCUAAUCCCUGCCAGUCGAGCGCACGGACGAGAAGCUUGCUUCUCUGAUGUUAGCGGCGGACGGGUGAGUAACCCGUGGAUAACCUACCUAUAAGACUGGGAUAACUUCGGGAAACCGGAGCUAAUACCGGAUGAUAUUUUGAACCGCAUGGUUCAAAAGUGAAAGACGGUCUUGCUGUCACUUAUAGAUGGAUCCGCGCUGCAUUAGCUAGUUGGUAAGGUAACGGCUUACCAAGGCAACGAUGCAUAGCCGACCUGAGAGGGUGAUCGGCCACACUGGAACUGAGACACGGUCCAGACUCCUACGGGAGGCAGCAGUAGGGAAUCUUCCGCAAUGGGCGAAAGCCUGACGGAGCAACGCCGCGUGAGUGAUGAAGGUCUUCGGAUCGUAAAACUCUGUUAUUAGGGAAGAACAUAUGUGUAAGUAACUGUGCACAUCUUGACGGUACCUAAUCAGAAAGCCACGGCUAACUACGUG